rnacentral:rRNA from 1 species
AGCCUGAUGCAGCAACGCCGCGUGAGGGAUGACGGCCUUCGGGUUGUAAACCUCUUUUAGUAGGGAAGAAGCGAAAGUGACGGUACCUGCAGAAAAAGCACCGGCUAACUACGUGCCAGCAGCCGCGGUAAUACGUAGGGUGCAAGCGUUGUCCGGAAUUAUUGGGCGUAAAGAGCUCGUAGGCGGUUUGUCGCGUCUGCUGUGAAAUCUGGGGGCUCAACCCCCAGCCUGCAGUGGGUACGGGCAGACUAGAGUGCGGUAGGGGAGAUUGGAAUUCCUGGUGUAGCGGUGGAAUGCGCAGAUAUCAGGAGGAACACCGAUGGCGAAGGCAGAUCUCUGGGCCGUAACUGACGCUGAGGAGCGAAAGCAUGGGGAGCGAACAGGAUUAGAUACCCUGGUAGUCCAUGCCGUAAACGUUGGGAACUAGAUGUGGGGGCCAUUCCACGGUCUCCGUGUCGCAGCUAACGCAUUAAGUUCCCCGCCUGGGGAGUACGGC